AGCAGCCGCGGUAAUUCCAGCUCCAAUAGCGUAUAUUAAAGUUGUUGCAGUUAAAAAGCUCGUAGUUGAAUUUCGGGAUCAAUAUAUCGGUCGUGCCUUGGUACGUACUGGUAUCAUUGGUUUCUCCUUUCUGACGAACCAUGAUGUCAUUAAUUUGGUGUUAUGGGAAGUUAGGACUGUUACUUUGAAAAAAUUAGAGUGUUUAAAGCAGGCUUUAGCUUGAAUACAUUAGCAUGGACUAAUGAAAUAGGACGUUCGAACCUAUUUUGUUGGUUUCUAGGAUCAACGUAAUGAUUAAUAGGGAUAGUUGGGGCAUUAGUAUUCAAUUGUCAGAGGUGAAAUUCUUGGAUUUAUUGAAGACUAACUACUGCGAAAGCAUUUGCCAAGGAUGUUUU
rnacentral:rRNA from 1 species